rnacentral:rRNA from 1 species
UACAGAGGUCUCAAGCGUUGUUCGGAUUCAUUGGGCGUAAAGGGUGCGUAGGUGGUGCCGUAAGUCGGAUGUGAAAUCUCGGGGCUCAACCCCGAAACUGCAUUCGAUACUGCGGUGCUCGAGGACUGGAGAGGAGACUGGAAUUCACGGUAUAGCAGUGAAAUGCGUAGAUAUCGUGAGGAAGACCAGUGGCGAAGGCGGGUCUCUGGACAGUUCCUGACGCUGAGGCACGAAGGCCAGGGGAGCAAACGGG